GCGUUGAUCCUGCGGGAGAUUCCUGCUAUCAGGGUUCCACUUAGCCAUGCAAGUCAAGGGGGUUCUUCGGAACCACCGGCAAAAGGCUCAGUAACACGUCGAUAAUUUGCCCUAAGGUCUGGUAUAACCAUGGGAAACUGUGGCUAAUCCCGGAUGAGUGAUUGAUACUGGAAUGUACUUUCACCGAAAGCUUCGGCGCCUUAGGAUAAGUCGGCGGUGGAUUAGGUUGUUGGUGAGGUAAAGGCUCACCAAGCCCGCGAUCCAUAGGGGGGAUGAGAGUCCUAGCCCCGAGAAGGACACUGAGAUAAGGGUCCUAGCCCUAAGGGGCGCAGCAGGCGGGAAACCUUUACGAUGCACGAAAGUGUGAUAAGGGGACCCUGAGUGCUUGCCUACAUGGGUAAGCUUUUGUUAAGUGUAAAUAGCUUAACGAAUAAGUGGUGGGUAAGACCGGUGCCAGCCGCCGCGGUAACACCGGCGCCACGAGUGGGGAUCAGUUUUAUUGGGCCUAAAGCGUCCGUAGCCUAUUUAGUAAGUCUUUUGUUAAAUCGUUGGGCUUAACUCAGCGUCUGCAAAAGAUACUGCUAGGUUAGAGAUCGGGAGGAGACAGAAGUACUCUUUGGGAAGCGGUAAAAUGUGAUAAUCCUUAGAGGACUACCUGUGGCGAAGGCGUCUGUCUAGAACGAUUCUGACGGUGAGGGACGAAAGCUGGGGGAGCAAACCGGAUUAGAUACCCGAGUAGUCCUAGCUGUAAACGUUGCGAACUAUGUGUUGCGUAUCUUUCGGAGAUGCGCAGUGCCGAAGCGAAGGUGUUAAGUUCGCCGCCUGGGAAGUAUGGUCGCAAGGCUGAAACUUAAAGGAAUUGGCGGGGGCGCACUACAAGGGGUGCGGCGUGCGGUUUAAUCAGAUUCUACACCGUAAACCUCACCAGGAACGACGGCAGGAUGAAGGUCAGAUUAAAGGUCUUACCUGACAAGCCGAGAGGAGGUGCAUGGCCGCCGUCAGCUCGUGCCGUAAGGUGUCCAGUUAAGUCUGGCAACGAGCAAGACCUACAUCUACAGUUGCUACCAACUUCUCCGGAAGGAUUGGGCACACUGUAGAGACUGCCUUGGAAACAAGGAGGAAGGUGUAGGCAACGGUAGGUGGUAUGCCCUGAAUUUCCUGGGCUACACGCGCGCAACAAUGGUAGAGACAAUGGGACACGACUCCGAAAGGAGAAGUUAAUCCUCGAACCUCUAUCCUAGUCUAGAUUGUGGGCUGCAAUUCGCCCUCAUGACAAUGGAAUCCCUAGUAAUCGGGUGUCAUCAGCGCCCGGUGAAUAUGUCCCUGUGCCUUGCACACACCGCCCGUCAAACCAUUCGAGCAGGGCUUGGGUGAGGCUUAGGUUUUUGCUUAAGUCGAAUCUGAGUUCAGUAAGAAGGGUUAAGUCGUCACAAGGUA
rnacentral:rRNA from 1 species